rnacentral:rRNA from 1 species
AACGAACGCUGGCGGCAGGCCUAACACAUGCAAGUCGAGCGAGGACUUCGGUUCUAGCGGCGGACGGGUGAGUAACGCGUGGGAAUGUGCCCUUCUCUACCGAAUAGCCCUGGGAAACUGGGAGUAAUACCGUAUACGCCCUAUUGGGGAAAGAUUUAUCGGAGAAGGAUCAGCCCGCGUUGGAUUAGGUAGUUGGUGGGGUAAUGGCCUACCAAGCCGACGAUCCAUAGCUGGUUUGAGAGGAUGAUCAGCCACACUGGGACUGAGACACGGCCCAGACUCCUACGGGAGGCAGCAGUGGGGAAUCUUAGACAAUGGGGGCAACCCUGAUCUAGCCAUGCCGCGUGAGUGAUGAAGGCCUUAGGGUUGUAAAGCUCUUUCAGCUGGGAAGAUAAUGACGGUACCAGCAGAAGAAGCCCCGGCUAACUCCGUG